GAUGAAGAACGCAGCGAAAUGCGAUAAGUAAUGUGAAUUGCAGAAUUCAGUGAAUCAUCGAAUCUUUGAACGCACAUUGCGCCCGCCAGUAUUCUGGCGGGCAUGCCUGUUCGAGCGUCAUUUCAACCAUCAAGCCCCGGGCUUGUGUUGGGGACCUGCGGCUGCCGCAGGCCCUGAAAACCAGUGGCGGGCUCGCUGUCACACCGGGCGUAGUAGAUUACAUCUCGCCCAGGGCGUGCUGCGGGUUCCGGCCGUUAAAAGCCUUCUUUACCCAAGGUUGACCUCGGAUCAGGUAGGAAUACCCGCUGAACUUAAGCAUAUCAAUAAGCGGAGGA
rnacentral:misc_RNA from 1 species